rnacentral:rRNA from 1 species
UAAUUUGAGAGUUUGAUCCUGGCUCAGGACGAACGCUGGCGGCGUGCCUAAUACAUGCAAGUCGAACGAACUCUGGUAUUGAUUGGUGCUUGCAUCAUGAUUUACAUUUGAGUGAGUGGCGAACUGGUGAGUAACACGUGGGAAACCUGCCCAGAAGCGGGGGAUAACACCUGGAAACAGAUGCUAAUACCGCAUAACAACUUGGACCGCAUGGUCCGAGUUUGAAAGAUGGCUUCGGCUAUCACUUUUGGAUGGUCCCGCGGCGUAUUAGCUAGAUGGUGAGGUAACGGCUCACCAUGGCAAUGAUACGUAGCCGACCUGAGAGGGUAAUCGGCCACAUUGGGACUGAGACACGGCCCAAACUCCUACGGGAGGCAGCAGUAGGGAAUCUUCCACAAUGGACGAAAGUCUGAUGGAGCAACGCCGCGUGAGUGAAGAAGGGUUUCGGCUCGUAAAACUCUGUUGUUAAAGAAGAACAUAUCUGAGAGUAACUGUUCAGGUAUUGACGGUAUUUAACCAGAAAGCCACGGCUAACUACGUGCCAGCAGCCGCGGUAAUACGUAGGUGGCAAGCGUUGUCCGGAUUUAUUGGGCGUAAAGCGAGCGCAGGCGGUUUUUUAAGUCUGAUGUGAAAGCCUUCGGCUCAACCGAAGAAGUGCAUCGGAAACUGGGAAACUUGAGUGCAGAAGAGGACAGUGGAACUCCAUGUGUAGCGGUGAAAUGCGUAGAUAUAUGGAAGAACACCAGUGGCGAAGGCGGCUGUCUGGUCUGUAACUGACGCUGAGGCUCGAAAGUAUGGGUAGCAAACAGGAUUAGAUACCCUGGUAGUCCAUACCGUAAACGAUGAAUGCUAAGUGUUGGAGGGUUUCCGCCCUUCAGUGCUGCAGCUAACGCAUUAAGCAUUCCGCCUGGGGAGUACGGCCGCAAGGCUGAAACUCAAAGGAAUUGACGGGGGCCCGCACAAGCGGUGGAGCAUGUGGUUUAAUUCGAAGCUACGCGAAGAACCUUACCAGGUCUUGACAUACUAUGCAAAUCUAAGAGAUUAGACGUUCCCUUCGGGGACAUGGAUACAGGUGGUGCAUGGUUGUCGUCAGCUCGUGUCGUGAGAUGUUGGGUUAAGUCCCGCAACGAGCGCAACCCUUAUUAUCAGUUGCCAGCAUUAAGUUGGGCACUCUGGUGAGACUGCCGGUGACAAACCGGAGGAAGGUGGGGAUGACGUCAAAUCAUCAUGCCCCUUAUGACCUGGGCUACACACGUGCUACAAUGGAUGGUACAACGAGUUGCGAACUCGCGAGAGUAAGCUAAUCUCUUAAAGCCAUUCUCAGUUCGGAUUGUAGGCUGCAACUCGCCUACAUGAAGUCGGAAUCGCUAGUAAUCGCGGAAUCAGCAUGCCGCGGUGAAUACGUUCCCGGGCCUUGUACACACCGCCCGUCACACCAUGAGAGUUUGUAACACCCAAAGUCGGUGGGGUAACCUUUUAGGAACCAGCCGCCUAAGGUGGGACAGAUGAUUAGGGUGAAGUCGUAACAAGGUAGCCGUAGGAGAACCUGCGGCUGGAUCACCUCCUUU